GCCAGCGCGGGGCGGGCCUUGCGGGGACGAGGCGGGCCACCGGGUCCCCCUCGAGAGUGUCAUCCGGGAGUAGGGCUUAGCAAGGUGGAGAGACGCUGUUCCCGGCGGCGAGGACCGCACGUGCCGAGGUGCAGAUGCGGGAUAAGCAGGAGUAGACGAUAAACUAGGUAGUGAAUGGAGCGAGCGAAGGCAAAGGGCGGUAAGGCAUGUAGGGAAAUGAGAGGUUCGUCCAGGCUCUUCUAUGGAACUGUCCACUCGCCAUCGCGAUGAGUUCGAAGUGUCUCACACUUAAAACUGAGCUCCUGACCUUGUCUCCCCAAAACCCUUCCAUAGCUUUCCCUAUCGCAGUUAAUAGCUUAUUCCAUCCUUUCAGCCACGCAGACUAGAGUCAUCUUAACGUUUGUCUUUUCUCACGUUUGAGAAAAUAAAAGUUAGUGUGUUGUUGUUAGGUGCCCUCGAGUGGGUUUCGACUCAUAGGGACCCGAUGUACAACAGAAUGAAACACUGCCCAGUCCUGAGCCAUCCUCACAAUCAUUAGGUUUGAGCCCGCUGUUGCACUCACUAUGUCAGUCCAUCUCAUUGAGGGUCUUCUAGUUUUUCGAUGGCCCUCUAAUUUACCAAGCAGGUUGUCGUUCUCCAGGGACUGAUCCCUCCUGAUAACAUGUCCAAAGUAUGUGAGAGGUAGUCUAGCCAUCCUUGCAUCUAAGAAGCAUUCUGGCUGUAUUUCUUCCAAGGCAGAUUUGUUCGUUCUUUUGGCGAUUCGUGGUAUAUGCAAUAUUCUUCACCAGCACCGUGAUCCAGAGGUGUCAGUUCUUCCUUGGUCUUCCUUAUUCAUUGUCCAACUUUCGCAUGUGUGUGAGGCGAUUGAAAACACCAUGGCAUGGAUCAGGCACACCUUAGUCUUCAAGGUGACAUCUUUGCUUUUUAACACUUUAAAGAGGUCUUUUGCAGCAGAUUUGCCCAAUGCAGUGCGUCAUUUGAUUUCUUGACUGCUGCUUCCAUGGGUGUUGAUCGUGGGUCCAAGAAGAAUGGGGCAUCAGGAUUGGAGAAAGACUUCCUAACAACUUGCGAUAAGCAGAUGCCACAACCUUGCUUGCUGAAUGUCAAGAGGACUUGAAACACUUAAGGAUGAAAAAUUAGCAUGGGCUAUUAAAAAAAAAAAAUUGCCCUCCCAUUUAUUGGGUUGGAAUAACAGACACGGAAAAAGCCAGUGACGAAAUUAAUAGGAAAAAAUAUUUCUUCCAGGGACAUGCUGCCUCUGUAAAUGACACAGCUCCCUUUCUCUGAGUGACUACUGCUUUAUUCCAAAACCAGAAACUAAAGCUGUUGUCAUCAAGUCCAUUCCAACUCAUAGCGACCCUGUAGGACAAAGUAGAACUGCCCCAUAGGGUCUCCAAGGAGCGGCUGGUGAAUUCAAACUGCCAACCUUUUGGUUAGCAGCUGAGGUCUUAACCACUGCACCACCAGGGCUCCACUGCUGUAUUACUCGCUGAGAAAUUUUGUUCUCUAAAAUCAUGGACUAUUACAAACUUUGCUGUUUGAAAUUAUAUCCGUAAAAAUAAAACAUCUCACUUUUACCUGGAGGGUCUAAGUCACUUAGACAAAGAGAAGCAGUCUCUAUUUACAGUCUAGGUUCAGAGCUUCAGAUAGGGGGUUUCUGGACACAGUAGUCCACAUCUGCCUUUACUGCCCCCAGGGAGACAGGGCCCUGGGCCCCCUUCUCAAUCCAGACCUGACGUUGGUCCCUUCACACACAAUCCUGCUUUACUCCAAGUCUGUUCAGAUACCGCUUCAUUUAUGCGUCACCCUGCUCUCAAAGCCAAUGACUCUCUCGUUUCCUUUGUUUGGUGUGCAGUCUUGUGUGCAGUCUCCCUCAUCGCCGUGGUAAAUAAAGCUGACUUUGUGGGACUGUGGGUUUAUAUUUGUGGUCUAAGGCUGUUUGGGCUAGGGCACAUUUUUCUCAUUCAGUCCAUAAGGAAAUCGUGUUGGCUCUACCUUUAAAAUCAACCCAAAAUUUGACCAUUUCUAACCCCCUCCUCUGCCCCAACCUUGGUUUUGGUCAUUAGCACCUCGUAACUGGGCUAUUUUAGUAGCCUCCUCACUGGUCUCCCUGCUUUCCACAGCCUGUUCCCCACAGGCAGCCAGGGGACCUGUGUUAACACCUGAGUCAGGUGAGGACCCUCCUUAUCUCAGAACCCUUCCACAGCUCCCACCUCACUCCAUAAAAGACAAAAAGAUAAGGCUGGAACAGGCAGAAAGCAGGCCCACAAAGCCCUGCAGGAGCAGGUUCCCCAAUACCGGUGUGACCUCAUCUUCUCCCCUCUUCUGCCCCUCACUGUGCCCCAACCAUUCCCUAGAAUGGCAGGCACGUCACUGCCCCAGGGCAUUUGCGUAUGCUGUUCCCUCUGCAUGAAAAGUUCUUACUUUUCUAUCACCUCAGCGAGGCCUUCUGUGACCAUUGACAACCACUCUAUGUGAAAUUGAAGUGGGCAGUCAUGAAAGGGUUAUUAAGGGUUAUUAACCAUCUCAUAAUAGUUGUUUUUCAGAAAAGUCUACUUUCGCUGCAUUUUUCUUACAACUUUUACAGCACUUCACCAUGAUUGGUUGAUUCCCCAGGUUUCUUCUCUUCUGCUAGCAGGAGGCAGAGGUGUAGGCACACUAACUCCCAAUCUACCUCCUGUAUCACCUUCCCGGGGGUGGCAGUAGUGAGCCGUCGCCAUUUUUUUUUUAGGGCUGUGUGCAGUAUUUUUAGAGCUGCAUACAAAAACCCAUUCACUAAAGUUAUGCGGAUUGUGCGCAUCACAAGACUGAAGGUCCUCCUCUCACUGUUCAUGCAUAUGUAUGUCACUCCCUAUAAAAGGAGCAGAUCUGUCCUGGUUCAGGGAGCUGGCAGCCUUGGGUCACGAGACCAUGCCUGCCUCCCAGUUCGCAAACUGUGAAUAAACCCUUCUGUUCUUCCAGCCCUGUGCCUGGCUGACUUCAGUUCGCUGGUCUGCUUGACAAGAAUCUAUUAGUUGACAGCUUCAUAUGGCACCCCAGAUGGGACUCAGUGGAGACUCCAGCUCAGCGUAAGUUAGGUCCUGAAACCUCCUCCGAAGGGCACCCUCCACCCUUCACUGGGCGGGGAGGACUUUCUGGGCGGCACCAACCCCGGACUGGACAACCCAUGAGUCCCCUGUUGGAGAACAGAAACAUUCCGACAGCACUGUGAAACAGAUACCUAUUUUUAAGUUUCAUUUUGGAGUAGCUACUAAGUGGUGGAUUGUGUCCUCAGUAACGGGUGUUAUUAGGCCUUGUGGUGUUCUCCCUGUGUCCUGGGGCUGAGUCCCCACCUGCAUGAGGGCACAGCCCUUGACCCCCACACCCGGAGGACACUUGGGGAGACUGUCGUUUUGUCCUGGGGCUGAGUCCUCACCACAUGAGAGCUCAGGCCUCCAUUGGGUCUUUUGUCUCGACCCCUGCAUGUUUUUGGUCGGGAUCUGGAUGAGGAAUAUUGUUUUGUGUCCUGCAUCCCCCUCCCCCGCCGCCCCCGCCACCGCCGUUUGUCUGGUGUGCUAGCUAGGGAGACUCAACUGGCUCAAAUCCAGGACCCUCUGGGUGCAGGAUGGUUUUCUCUUUCUUCUGAGGAGUGUACUGAAACAUUCUAAUUUUAGAUACUGAGUCUCACCUAAGAUAUCAACUUAGUUGGAGCAAGAUACACUCCUUGCAAAUAUUGGCUCUGGAAGGUGUGGUACUUGAAUUUCGCCACCUGAGAUUAUCAGGGUAACUGAGUUUUGCGCCUCUGUAUAGCCAGGGCCUCUCAAACACAUCCUUCUCUUGGCUGACUAAUUAGAAGGGAUAAGAUCCAUAAACAAGACGGGCACUGGUCAGUCUGUCCCUAAAUCAUCCCCCUUAGAGUGGACCUUGACUCAUUGGUAUUUUUUAAGAACUGGUGACACUAGAAGGAAGCUUUUGAGGUUCCUCUGUCUAGGCCUCAGUAUAACUUAGAAGACCAGGAGAAGUGGGCAGCCGAGGGAAGUUUGCGUUAUAACAGCAUUUUGCAGUUAGGUUGGUUUUGUAAGAAGACCCAUAAGUGGGAUGAGGCACCCUGUGUUCAAAUGUUCAUGACUCUGUCAUAAGCAGGGAUUACUACAGCAGUGGAAAUUAAAGGCUCAGGUUAAUCAGAAGUCAAACAAGUUCUCGAGGCAGAAGAGUCUGAUGUCGUGCUGGGGCUUCCACCCCCAUAUAAUCCUGUUUACCCUCAGAUUCCCCAAGUGGUUCCCGCCAACCCUGGCCCCGGGGCCUCAGGGGUGGCCUCCCCCGAUCCUGGGACCCCAGAAACAGGAAUUGUCUCCAACCUCACACCCACAAUGGUGCUACAUUUGACCAGGGACAGUCCAUUUCCUCAACUAGCCGGAGUACUGACAAGGAGGGUGAUCCAGAAGUGGGCCAGUUCCCUUUAAGAGAGGCACCGGGAGCUUCUUGGAUCAGGUAGACACUUGAGACUGUGUUGGCAUCUCCUCCCUGGAGGGGAGGUGAGAGGGCAGAGGGGGUUAGAAGCUGGCGAAAUGGACACGGAAAGAGAGAGUGGGGGAAGGGAGUGGGCUGUCUCAUUGCGGGGAGAGCAAUUGGGAGCAUGUAGCAAGGUGUAUAUGAGUUUUUGUGUGAGAGACUGACUUGAUUUGUAAACUUUCACUUAAAGUACAAUAAAAAUUAAAAAACAAACAAAAAGAGUUGGAAUCAACUCUACGGCAGCUGGUUAACCCCUCUCUGACUAGUUGCCUGAGGAGCCCUGGUUGCACAGUGGUUAAAGUGCUUGGGUGCUCACCAAAAGGUUGGUAGCUUGAACCCACCAGCUGCUCCAGGGAAGAAAGAUGUGGUAGUCUGUUUUCAUAAAGAUGACAGCCUUAGAAGCCCUAUGGGGCAGUUCUAUUCUGUGCUAUAGGGUCUGUGAGUCAGAAUCAACUCAGCGGAAAUGGGCUUGUUUUUUGUUUUGUUUCAUUUUGUUUUAACUAGUUGCCCAUAUUAAAUUCCUUCUCUUAAAAAAAAAGAGAGAGAGGCACUGGCCAGAACAGGAGCGGGUGGAAGAAUUAGGUCCCCUUCACCACUUCAGAUUUGUUUAAGUGGAAAAAUAAUUUCCCAAAAUACCAUCAGGAUCCUCAAAAGAUGCACAAUGUGUUUUCGUCACCGUUAGUGCCCAUCAGCCCACCUCGGCAGACUGCCAGCCCCUGGUUGGCAGUUCUUCUCUCUUCGGAAGAGAGGAGAAUAAUUUUGGAAAAGGCUAGAUGGUUUGCUGAGAAUGAACACAAUGAAGACCCCCAAAAUCCUGACAUACUGCCAGCCGAUAACACAGUCCCUGGAGUUGACCCAGAGUGGGAUUACGGUUCAAAGGAGGGCAUGAGUAGUCUGAGGUAUGAUAGACAGUGCUUACUAAAAAAAAAAUUAUAGAAAGUGCUUACUAGAAGGCCUUAAAACGAGGGUACAGAAACAGAAAAACCUCUCAAAAAUUUAUGAAGUAAUUCAGGAACCUAAAGAAAACUCCUUUGAGUUUCUCGACAGAAUUUUCCAGGCCUUCCAGAGAUACACUGGCAUGGAUCCUGAAACUACUGAGAAUCAACGAAUGGUUAAUAUCAUCUUCAGAGGACAAAGCUCUAUAGAUCUCCACAAAAAACUCCAGAAAUUGGAUGGAGGACCAGCUUGAAGGAACAAAACCAUGGGUCUGCUCUUCCCGAGUAAAACCAACAGCUGCCCCAACAAGCCUUGGUACCAGAGAACCAGACAACAAGAUCGCGGAGCCUGACUGGACAGUAGAUCCACGGGAAGGACUCAAGCUGUUGGUCUGAAGGCUCAGAUCUGAUAAGUAAAACUUUCUGCUAAUAAUGAAUGUAGUGGACGUUUUAGGAAUCGCAUUUGCUGUAGCUCUUUGCCUAAUACUGUGGCCUUUGCUUAUCAGCUGCCCGUUUUUGGGUACACUUACUUCCUUUGGUGUUAAAGGUUUAAUUCUCAAGAAUUGCUUUUAUGUUUAGAAAACUCUUAAGAUGAAACCCCUUCUUACAUUCCUCCUGGGUCUCUCUAUACUAUCCCCUUGGGCACAGGGCUCCGAAAGCUGGGAAAAUAAUUAAUUUUACCAAGUUUCAAAAGCCAUCAGUGAAGACCAGCCACUUCAUUUAUGUUGGAUAUGUUUUUCCCCUCCCACAGAAACAUCAGGGAACCUCCAAAUUCUCCCUGUGAGUAACUACUCACAGGUGCCACCCCCCACUGUCAACCGUACCAGCUUUCCCCCCAGAGACCCCUUGCUCCUCCCUUUCGCUAAAUCCCCUACAGUUGGCUUUAACUGUACAGGAAUUCUCAACAAGACCUACCCAGCAGGCAUGUCUUUCAACAUCUGGCUUAAAGGGGCACUAAACAAGACCUACAUCAGGGCCCAGGCCCAGAUAGAAAACUUAACUUUAAUGGAUAAUUGGAAUGUCUCCCGCCUCCAGGAUUGUGAAAUCUCCUUAAAAAAUGCCAACAGCACUGUUCAGGUUUCUUCUCUUCUCCUGGCAGGAGGCGGAGGCACAGGCACACUAACUCUGAAUCUACCUCCUAUACGACCUUUCUAGGGUGGCAGUAGCGAGCCGUCACCAUUAUUUUUAGGGCUGUGCGCAAUAUUUUUAGAGCUGUGUGCAAAAACUCAUUCAUAAAAGUUAUGUGGACUGCAGGCACAUCACAAGACUGAAGACCCUCUCCUCACUGUUCAUGCAUACGUAUGUCACUUCCUAUAAAAGGAGCAAGUCUGCCCUAGUGCAGGGAGCUGGCAGCCUUAGGUCAUGAGACCCUGCCUGCCUCCCAGAUUGCGAACUGUGAAUAAACCUUUCUGUUUUUUAACCCUGUGUCUGGCUGACUUCAAUUCGCUAGUCCGCUUGACAAGAACCUAUUAGUUGAAGGCUACAAAAUUGUAACCCUCCCCCAUUUGCACACAUAUUCUCCCUAUCAAAAAAAAAAAAAAAAAAUUUUUUUUUUUUUAUCUCUUGCUUUAUUUUUCCCCUUAACUCUUUCUACUAUCUGGCAUAUUAACACGUUUGAUGUAUUCAUUUAUUGUCUCCCCUUAUGGUGAAAUGAGUUCCUUUAUGUGGCCUUUUGCCUUGGUUCUUUGGAAAAAUUGCUUGAGAGAUUUUUCUCCCUAAGCCCAGAAGGGUUAUAUUUGCCCUAGUUCUCUACUCCAGAGGGUUUGUUACAUUUCCUGGGUAGGCUGUGAACAACUUCUGGUUUGAUAGUUUUUCUCUGGUCCUGGGCUGCAGCCUGCCCUGUGGUUGGUAUGUGAUUGGCCAAUAUAUUAUGCAAAUGAAGUGACUGUAGACUAUGCAAAUGAAGUGAUUAUCCAAACCAAAGAACCCAUUGCUGUCAAGUCAAUUUUGACGCAUCGCAAUCCUGUAGGACAGGAUAGAAUUGCCCUGUAGGGAUUCCAAGGCUGUAAUCUUUAAGGAAGUGGACUGCCACAUCUUUUUUCCUACAGAGUGGCUUGUGGGUUUGAACAGCUGACCUUUCUGUUAGCAGCUGAGUGCUUAACCACCGUACCACCAGGACUCCGUCUCUGCCUCUUAAGAACUGACUUUGUGCAGAUUCUCAUGUGUUAUUCAGACACCCCCCCCCCCAAUUAGAACGUUAGCUCCGUGAAGGCAGGAACUUUCGUUUGUCUCGUUCCCUUUUGGUCUCAGCAUCUAGGACAGUGCCUGACACAUAGUGGGUGGUUGGUAAAUCCUUGUUGGGUGAAUUCGUUUCAGAUGGGCUGCCCAGGAAACUCAGCAGUCCAUGUCCCAGCUGUCCUUUCAGGGACUCCGGUAAAGGGCAGGAGUACAGGGGAGACCUUAAGCCUGGAUCAGUGUGUCUAGACUUGCUUUUUUAAAUACAGUGAAACCUGUGAGAGCCAGAACUCAGCAGGACUGCCUUGUUUUUCUGGGUCUCGCAAGUUUUCCGCUUUUGACAGGGUGCAGUCUCACCACUUUUUUUUUUUUUUAAUUAUGCUUUAAGUAAAGUUUAUAGUUCAAGUUAGCUUCUCAUACAAAAAUUUAUAUACACAUUGUUAUGUGACCCUAGUUGCUGUCCCUAUAAUGUGACAGUACACUCCUUUCCACCCUGGAUUUCCCGUGUCCAUUCAGCCAGCUCCUGGCCCUUUUUGCCUUCCCAUCUCGCCUCCGGACAGAAGCUGCCCACAUAGUCUUACAUGUCUGAGCUAAGAAGCAUGCUCCUCACUGGUAUCAUUUUAUAUCUUAUAGUUCAGUCUAAUCUUUGUCUGCGAAGUUGGCUUCGAGAAUGGUUUCAGUUCUCUACUAACAGAGAGCCCGGGGUACAUGUCUUCCAGGGCUCCUCCAGUCUCAGUCAGACCGUUAAGUCUGGUCUUUUUACUAGAAUUUGAAUUUUGAACCCUAUGUUUCUCCUGCUCCAUCAGAGACUGUUGUGUUCCCUGUCAGGGUGAUCAUUGGUGGUAGCUGGGCACCAUCUAGUUCUGGUCUCAGGGUGAUGGAGUCUCUGGUUUAUGUGGCCCUUUCUGUCUCUUGGGCUCAUAUUUUCCUUGUGUCUUUGGUGUUCUUCAUUCUCUUUUACUCCAGGUGGGUUGGGACCAAUUGAUGUAUCUCAUAUGGCAGCUCACUAGCUUUUAAAACCCCAGACACCACUCACCAAAAUGAGAUACAGAGCAUUUUCUUAAGAAACUUUGUUAUGCCAAUUGACCUAGAUGUCUUCUAAAGCCAUGGUCCCCAGACCCCCACCCCCUUACCAUUUUUCUGUCACUCGUUUCAAUGGAAAAUAUUUGCGUUCUCCGUCACUGAGAGGUUUCCACCUUACACAGGUUCCGGCUUUAGCAUGUUUACUGUCUGUCACUCUGAGACCAUUCAUUAAUUCGCCAACUCCUUGAGCGUCUCCUGGAGUAAGUAGGCCCCCGCUGGGCACAGAGGACCAUGAAAGAUGUGGUUGUUGCUCUGACAGAUGAGGGUUGAACACUACAGAACUGAGUACUCAACCUGGGAGUUGUCAGUGAUCCUUUCUUUUCUUAAGCACUGUGGCCCCCAUCUAGUCCAUUAACCCAUCCUAUGACUCUACCUUCAAGGCAUACUCCCAUCCUGCAACCACCACAACAAAAUCCACAACACCUUGGCAAUACAACUAUAAAUGCAAAUAGUAAAAUCCUGACUAUGCUAUUAGAAAAUAAGAAGAAAAGCGCAUUCCCAGUUGACCAUCUCUACAGUCACCACCACGGUCCAGGCUGUCACCAUCUCUUAUUGAGACACCGUGAUAGCUGCUUACUGCUCUACCAGCUUCCACUUUUGCCUCCCUGACAGCAAUGACAAUAAUACCUUACUUGGCACUUCCUGUGUGCCCAGCCCCGUUCUGAGUGCUAUACACACAAUUCCAGGAGAAAGAUGACAGCCGUACACAGCAGCUGGAUGACUGUGUAAAACCUAAACUGGUUCAUAUCUUCACUGCUUAAAUUUACAAUGGCGUCCUAGUGACUAGAAUGGAAUCCAGACUCUCGGUCUUGACCCACAAGCCCCUUCCUACUCUGGGCCCUGAUGCCGUCCCUCCAUGGCCCCAUCGGCUGCCCACCCAUCCCUGUCUAUGAGGUCCAGCCAUACUGUCCACCAGGCCACUCCUCACACAGGCCAGGCCCAUUUCCACCUCAGGGCCCAUCCGUGAGUCAAUCUUGCAGAACCCACUUAGCUAGGAGUUGGGUGAGGGGAAUCUCCCAAAGGAGAGUCAGGAGAGAUUGGGUAGGAGACAAGGUAGAACAUAUUAAGGGGAGUGGCUGCCCGGCAGCUAACAUUCAUUAGCUCUGUUUUAGGUCCUUUUGGGACCAAAUGAUGGUCAUCUCCAGUAACGGGCUGGGGGAGGGUAGUUAUUAAUUAGGAGUUGAAUCUGCUGCCAGCAGCAAAAUCCUGAAAUAAAAGUGGCUCAGUUUCCUAGUGCUGCUGUAACAUAAAUACCACACAUGGAUAGCUUUAAGGAACAGACACUUGCUCACACUUCUGGAGGCUAAAAGUCACAGUCAGUGUCUCAGCUGUGUCGAUUCCUUCCUUGUUGGUAGCUCAGGGCAUUCCUUGGUGCCUUGGGAAUCCUCGCAUGGCAUCCGUCUUCCCUGUGUGUGCAUGUGUCUGUGUCUAUGCCACUUUUUAUAUAACUGAAAAGAGAUUAGGUUUAGGAUCCACCCUGCACUGGUAUCACCUCAACUGAUAAGAGUUGAUUAUGUCACGUUAGAUUGCGUUAUGGAAAGUGAUUAUAUCUAUAGGUCUAGGGGUUAGGAUUCGAACACAAAUUUGGGGGUGACAAUUCAAUCCAUAAUAGUGGCUUAAAUAAGUUAGGAGGUCCAUAGGAGUCAGCAUGGUUAAGUUAGGCUGCAGUAACAAACCGUGCCCAAAUCUCAGUGGGUUACCUCAACAAAGGUUUGUUUCCUCUCACACCAUGCCCCUUAGAAGUCGUUUGUGGCUCUGCUGUACACUGUCUUAAUUGUCACUUUGGAGCCACCCUUACUUGGGAUAUGGCUGUCUUGUGGGAGGGUAAAAAGAAGAUGAGGGACUCACCCAGUGGCUCCUGAUAAAUUUUAUAAUCAGAAGUGGCCCAUGUCACUUUCACUCACGUUCCUUUGGCCAAAGCAAGUGUAUGGUAAACCUCGUGUCAGUCAGGUGGGGAUGUAUAAUCUUCACGUGGGAGGGGCAGUGAAUAUUUUGAAAAAUAAUACAUUCUACCACAGGGUUUAUCUUUCUCUCAUAGGAACAAAUACAGGGGUUGGCAGACCAGCACUGGUGCGGCAGCUCCACAAUCAUCAAGGAUGAGGGUCCUCCGACCUUUCUUUUCCGCCAUCCUUAGCACGCGGCUUCCGUCCAAAUGGCUGCCAGCACCCUAGUCGUAGCUCCGUUCCAAGCAGGACGGAGGGAAAGAGGAAAGAGCAAAAGGUGCUCACCUCCUGACCCAGGCAGCCCCCUUUACAAAGCCUUCCCAGAAACCCCACCCAGUGACUUACUGGUCACCCCCAGCUACAAAGGAUGUUGGGAAAUGUGACCUUUUAGUUGGGCGUUUAACCACUCAAGAUAUUUUGGGUUCUGUUAGUAAGAAAGAAAAAAAGAACUUCUAGCAGUGUAUGCCGCUCCGUGGUCUAAAUAAGAUGACUAGCGAAACUAACAUAUUCUACAUAAAGGGGAAAACUAGCUGUCAACCUAAGGUAGCUUUUCAAAGAGAGAUAAAUCAAAACUAAGCCAGUUGAAUCCAUUCUGACUCAGGGCAGCCCUAUGUGUGUCAGAGUAGGACUGCGCUCUGUAGGGUUUUUCAAUGGCUGAUUUUUUUGGAAGUGGAUCACGAGGUCUUUCUUCUGAGGUACCUCUGGGUGGACUCAAACCACCAGCCUUUCAGUUAGCAGCUGAGCAUGUUAACCAUUUGCACCACCAGGGGCUCCCAAAGAGGGACAUUCCAAUCAUAAAGGUCCUCAUCCAGAGGAACAAAAGGGAAUAAGAACGAGACCAAAUUGGCGAGAGGUUUUUGUGAUAUUCACUUCCCUCCUUUGCCCUUUGGGCUGUUCUGAUUCCAUGGGAGAACCCCCACCCACUUUAGGGUACCACCCCAGAUGUCCCACAUUGCGCUCAAGCAUUCAUUGGCCAGAACUUAGUGACAUGGCCCCAUUCAGCUGCAGAAGGGACUGGAAAAGAUAGCCUUUUAGCAGGGCCCGUUAUGGCCAAUCAAAGAGUCCUCUGGCAGUCUUGGCAGGCUGGGAGGAGGGGAAGUGCUGCUGUAAGGGGUCUCCUGUGUGGGUCCAGAGAGAACAGGGGAGGGGGGACGUGCUGCUGUAAGGGGUCUCCUGUGUGGGUCCAGGGAGAACAGGGGAGGGGGGACGUGCUGCUGUAAGGGGUCUCCUGUGUGGGUCCAGAGAGAACAGGGGAGGGGGGACGUGCUGCUGUAAGGGGUCUCCUGUGUGGGUCCAGAGAGAACAGGGCUGAUGAGAGCAUUUGGAUUCCAGACAGGAGUUGAAGGGACUGCAGCGGCCAGGCUCCUUGGCCCUGCGCCUUGGGGUUCUGCUCUUUGGGUACCACAGCUCUUCUCUGGGUCAUGGCUGGCAGCCUCUUUAGCUAGUCUCCUUCCGUGCACUUCCCAGUGUUUCUUUACGCAAAGACAAGCAAAUCUGAAUAUAUGUUAUUUCCCCCUUUAUUACUGUAUCCGUUUCCUGUAGCUGCAGUAACAGGCUCCAUGUCUUAAAACAACGGAAUUUUACUCUGACGUUUCUGCGGGCCAGAAGUCUAACUCCGUUUCACUGUGCAGCAGUCAAGGUGUUAGCAGGGCCACACUCCCUUGAAGGCUCUAGGGGAGAAUCGGUUUCUUUCCUCUUCCAGCUUCUGGUUGUCUGCAGGCUUUCCUUGUGUGUGGCCACACCACUCCAGCCUCGGCCUCGGCGGUCACAUUGCCUUAGCCUGUUCUGCCUGGGGUAAUAUCUCCCUCUGCUUCCCACAUUAAGGAUACUUGUGAUUGCAUUUAGGGCCCACCCAGAUAAUCCAGGAUUAUCUCAAAAUCUUAAUUUAAUCACAUCUUUUCUCAUAUAAGGUACUAACAGGUUCCAGGAAUAAUUGUUGUUAGGUGCUGUCGAGUCAGUUCGGACUAAUAGUGACCCAUGUACAACAGAACAGAACACUGCCCGGUCCCGCACCAUCCUCACAGUGGCUACGCUUGAGCCUGUUGCCACAGCCACUGUGUUGAUCCGUCUUGUUCAGGGUCUUCUUCAUUUAUGCUAACCCUCUAUGUAAGGUUUUCUCUGGUCAGUUUUUUCAGAAGUAGACUGCCAGGUCCUUCUUCGUCUGUCUUAGUCUGGAAGCUCCACUGAAACCUGCCCACCAUGGGUGACCCUGCUGGUAUUUGAAAUACCAGUGGCAUAGCUUCCCGCAUCACAGCAACACACAAGCCACCACAGUGUGACACACUGAGACAAGUGGUGGUCCAUUAUUCAGCCUACCACAGUUACUGAAAGAAGACGCUCUGUUGGGGACCUUGUUUUCUUCACAUGAGCCUGACAUCAGCACUUCAGUUCAUAACAUGCCCCUGCACUCUGUGGUAUAGCUGCGGGGUCUCCUUUUGUGUGGGCGUGCCCGAGUUGACUUCCUCUGCUUCCUGUACGUGGUACUGUCCCCCACUCUCCAACACUCCAUCCAGCUGUGGUCAAGUUGACUCCAACUCAUGGCAACUGCCAUGGGUGUCGAGACUAGAACUGUGGUCCGUAGGGUUUUCAGUGGCCAAUUUUUCCACUCAUCUCUCUCCUUCUUUGACAGAGAGCAGGCGUUAGGCUCGCAGCUCUCCGUAGGCAAAGGUAGCUAGACAGCAUUUGAUAACAUUCCCUUUUGUUUCUGUAGCUAACUUCUGUUCGUGAAAUUGAUAUUGGUUUCCUACUUUCCAUUGGGUAAAGUUUCUCUUUUAGAUACCUUUGAUUAAUGUUUAAAGUUGUUCAGUGUUAAGAAAACUAAGGAAAUAAUGGAGCGGGAUACUGUGGAAUGGGACACAGAUGACUGACUAGUUACCUGACACUGCCUACCAAAAUAGUCCACAGUUUAGCAGUUGAAAACAACAAACGCUUGUUGUCUGAGAGUUUCUGGAAGCUGCCGCAGGACAGACUAGCCAGAAUUUAAUCACAUGGCCACUCCUGGCUGCAAAUGAGGCUGGGAAAUGAGGUCUUUAUUGUGGGCAGCCUUGAGCUUGGCUGUAAACAGAGAAUUGUAUUACGCUGUAAAAGGGCAAGAACAGACACUGGGGACAAGGGGCACCAGGACACAAUUAGGAGCAGUUGGACACCUUUGGAACCCUGGUGGUGCAGCGGUUAAGAGCUUGGUUGCUAACCAAAAGGUCACCAGCUGCUCCUUGGAAACCCUAUGGGGGCUGUGAGUCAAUUGACUGCAGCAGGUUUUGUUUUGUUUUGGGGGCACCUUGAGAGGGGUGCUUGAUCAGAUUAAUCUCCAUCCCUCCCCACUGGAAAAGCUUUCGUUUAGUGAAUUAAAAAAAAAAAACUUUGUAAUAGAUGUUUUGAAUCAUACGACAAAGAUAGAAAAGUAUAACAGAUUCUCAUGUGCCCAUGGCUCGGCCCGACCAGUUACCAACAUUUUGCCAGUCUUGUUUCAUUGCCGUCCCCUCCAACCCACCCACUCCUUUACUGAUUUUUUUGUCUUCCAGUAUUUUAAAGUAAAUCACAGCCAUCACAUCUUUUGCCCACAAAUGUUUCAGAAUGUCUCUGUACAGAUGACUAUUUUAAAAGCAUUUGUUGUUGUUGUUGUUGUUGUUAGGUCCGUGGAGCCGAUUCUGACUCAUGCUGACCCCACGUGACAGAGUAGAACUGCCCCAUAGGGUUGUUUUUUGUUUUUUUUCCACAAUAGCUAUGCUUUGUUGAACAUAUAUGUGUCUAGCACACUGGACUAGCCAGUUUACCUAUGCAUUUUUUUUUGUUUUAAUUUUGUUGUUGAGAAUAUACACAGCAAACAUACACCAAUUCAACAAUUUCUACAUGUACAUCCAGUGACAUUGAUCACAUUCUUCGAGUUCUGCAAACAUUCUCACCCUCCUUUUAACAUAAACUCACUGCCCCCUAAGGUUCCUAUCUGAUCUUUUGAGUUGCUGUUAUCAAUUUGAUCCCAUACAGAUAGUUGUUAAAAGAGCAUAUUGCUCAAG